UGCUCAGGAUGAACGCUAGCGGCAGGCUUAACACAUGCAAGUCGAGGGGUAUAUUUCUUUCGGAGAUAGAGACCGGCGCACGGGUGCGUAACGCGUAUGCAAUCUACCUUUUACAGAGGGAUAGCCCAGAGAAAUUUGGAUUAAUACCUCAUAGCAUUGCAGGAUGGCAUCAUCGAGCAAUUAAAGUCACAACGGUAAAAGAUGAGCAUGCGUCCCAUUAGCUAGUUGGUAAGGUAACGGCUUACCAAGGCUACGAUGGGUAGGGGUCCUGAGAGGGAGAUCCCCCACACUGGUACUGAGACACGGACCAGACUCNUACGGGAGGCAGCAGUGAGGAAUAUUGGACAAUGGGCGCAAGCCUGAUCCAGCCAUGCCGCGUGCAGGAUGACGGUCCUAUGGAUUGUAAACUGCUUUUAUACGAGAAGAAACACUCCUUCGUGAAGGAGCUUGACGGUAUCGUAAGAAUAAGGAUCGGCUAAUCC
rnacentral:rRNA from 1 species